UUUCUUGCUUUUUAAUAGAACUGUGAAAAUUGCUUUUGUUUAGACAGAGGCCUCCCUGCACAUAAUUUUGGUAUCCUUCUUUAGAUUAUUUCUUGAGUUUACUAUAAUAUUUUUCUUUCCUUAGAUUAUUUCUUGAUUUUAUUAUAAUUUUUUUUCUUUCUUAUCUCAGUUACUGUGAAGAUUCUUACAAAAAGAACACAGCAAUGAGCAUUUUAAAUAGAUUGUUUAGAACUGUACAAAUAAUCCAACAAUGAUCACUUACACAUUUUGUUCACACAUCCCCACCAACCCAUUUUUAAUUCCCUCAUAUUCCAGGAACCAUCAUGGCAAGCAGGGUCAGGUUGUGGAAAAGAGCAUAAAAUGAGAACCUCCUCCUGGCUCAUAAGAGUGCAGAUCUUGUUGCUUUUAUAUUUUUACUCAUUCAAGGUGACUACAGCACUACAUCAGUGACAGCUACCAUGGUUUCUAGCAAGAGCUGAAGUUGUAAUACUUGACCUCAAAAAUGGGAAGGGCAGUGGGUAGAGGACUGAAAUGCUACUGACAUAAAAUGGUUUUGUUUGAAAUGCUACUGACAUGAAAUGCUACAUCACCUGGACAACUGUAACUGCUGCAUAGAUUUAAAAAGUGGUGUUAGCUUUUUUGAAGUUCAUUGGGUUUACUAAAGGUUUCAGGUUCUCAUUGCAACAUAGCUCUAAUCACACUUAACAGGCACUUCUUAACUUUCAGGAAUGUAUGAAGACUGGGAACUGUGUGUCAAAAACAGCUCCUAAUGGAAACUUAACAAGCAAUUUUAAAAGCAGACUAAUUCUUACCAUCCCCUCUAUACGAUCCAGAUGUGAGUUCAUCAACUGUAGACAAGUCAGAAAAAACACAAUUUUUAUAUUUGGAAUACUUAAUAUUGUAUAGUUAUAUGGUUCUACAGCCAGGAGCUAGACUCAAUGAUCCACCGGGUCCCUUCCAGCCCUGCACAUGAUGGCAUGUAACAAGAAGAGUGUUACAGACAGCUAUGACAUCACCUGCCCGUCACUGCUGAAGCUAUGUGUCAUCUACCAAUGGCGUGACGGAGGGUGGGACUUAAGGGGUGGAGCUGUUGUAAAUAAGGGGAAUGAAUGGUGUGAGAGAGUUAGAUAGGGCUUUAGAGUUAGGGACGGUUAGGGUUUGGAGAUAGAUCUGUGCUAUAUAGUGAGAGUCUGUGAGAGCGUGUGUGUGACAGUUAUAUUAUUAAAGUGAUUAUAGUAUUAGUUAUCUACAAGUGAUUUACCAUUCCUUUUGUUUGUAUUCAAUAAAUCUUAUUUUUAUUUUGAAAUCA
rnacentral:lncRNA from 1 species